UCGCUCUAAUCUGUUAAAGGAUAAUGAGGAAUAUAGCUAGGAAUGAAGGUAAGGUGAUUAUACUGGAAUGAAGGGCAUCCGCUGCAGAGCUCUAACCACAGUGCCAAAAUCCCCACGCCAGCCUAAUAGCUUUCACAGGGUCGCCCAGCCCCGGCCAAACGCUCAGCAGCUGCUGGUACUGCCAGUUACUGACACGCUAAACUCCUGACAUAUGACUGAGCUGCUGUUAGACGGUGCUGCUCCUCAGGAUUCAGGGUUUAGUUGUUAUUCAUUCUUCACUCUUUUCCAUUACUCAGAUAUUGAGCUUAUAGGUUAGGCUUACGUUGGGUCAUCAGACUGAAGAAAAAAAAAGAUGAAAAGGAAAGGAACAGGUCCAUAAAUACACUGAGAACAUUCAACUUUAAUAAUUUUAUUGUUAACUUUGAAAAUAAUUUGUUUUAGUCAUGGGUUUGUUGGUCUGAACAUGAAAUCUUACACUUGUUUAAAGGUUGUAAGCUGCCUUAUUUAAUCUACACUAAACAAAUGCAUAAAUGCAAAAUGCAUAAAAAAGUUUUUGUUCCAGUGACUUUAUAAAAUUGUCUAUUCUGAUUGGUGUCCUUUGAUGCACCUCAUUCAGCUGAAACACUCCUUAUAACUUCAGGGUGAACGUUUAUUUUUCAUAUAUUCAUAUUUUAAAGUGGGAGGAAUGUAUUUAUGUAUGAGAGAGAGGUAGAGGUAGAGAAAGAGAGAGAGGAGGGAGAGGUAGAGGUAAAGAGAUUUAGAAGUAGAGAAAAAGUAAGAAAGAGGUAGAGAGAGGAAGAGUUAGAGAGAGAGAUAUGUAGAGGGAGAUAGAAAGAAGGACAGAUAAAGAGGUAGAAAGAGAGAGGUAGAGGAGAGAGGAAAAGAGAGAGGUACAGAGGGAAAGGGAGGUAGAGGUAGAGAGAAAGGUAGAGAGCAAGGAAGAGGUUAAUAGAGUGAGAGAGAGAGGAUGGAGGUAGAGAGAAAGGUAGAAAGAAAGAGAAGAAGAGGUAGGGAGAGAGGUGUAGAGGUAGAGAGAGGAAGAAGUAGAAGUAGAAAAAGAGGUAGAAGUAGAGAAAGAGGGAGGAAGAGGUAGAGAGAGAGGAGGGAGAGGUAGGGAUAGAGAGAGGGGUACAGAGAGAGGAGAGAGGAAAAGAGAGGUAUAGAGGGAAAGGGGGUAGAGAUAGAGGAAGAGGUAGAAGGAGAGAGAGAGGAAGAGGUAUAGAGGGAAAGGGGGGUAGAGAUAGAGGAAGAGGUAGAAGGAGAGGGAGAGGUGGAAGGAGAGAGAGAGAGGAAGAGGUAUAGAGGGAAAGGGGGGUAGAGAUAGAGGAAGAGGUAGAAGGAGAGAGAGAGGGAGGAAGAGGUAGAGAGAGGAAAAGGUAUAGAGGGAAAGGGGGUAGAGAUAGAGGAAGAGGUAGAAGGAGAGGAAGAGGUAGAAGGAGAGGGAGAGGUGGAAGGAGAGAGAGAGAGGAAGAGGUAUAGAGGGAAAGGGGGGUAGAGAUAGAGGAAGAGGUAGAAGGAGAGAGAGAGGGAGGAAGAGGUAGAGAGAGGAAAAGGUAUAGAGGGAAAGGGGGUAGAGAUAGAGGAAGAGGUAGAAGGAGAGAGAGAGAGAGGAAGAGGUAGAGAGAGAGGAGGGAGAGGUAGGGAUAGAGAGAGGGGUACAGAGAGAGGAAAAGGUAUAGAGGGAAAGGGGGUAGAGAUAGAGGAAGAGGUAGAAGGAGAGGGAGAGGUGGAAGGAGAGAGAGAGAGAGAGGAAGAGGUAUAGAGGGAAAGGGGGGUAGAGAUUGAGGAAGAGGUAAAAGUAGAGAAGAGAGGAAAAGAGAGAGUUAUAGAGGGAAAGGGAGGUAGAGAUAGAUAGAAAGAGAGGAAGAGGUAGAGAGAGAGAGGGAGAGGUAAAAGUAAGAAGAGGUGUAGAGGGAGGUAGAGUGAGAGAGUCUGGUCUGAUUUCAGGUUUAGUGUUUCGUGUUUCUCAGGUUUUAAUGCUUGGAAUUCUCUUCAUACGUUUUCACUAAUUUGAUUUGGUUCCCGCCGUUUCUCCUGAGAGAGAGAAACACUCUGGGCUCCUCAGGCUGGUUGAUGCUCAGUUAUGUCAGGUAUUUGUGUUUUAGUGUAAUUUAUCAUGAGUAAACACUUUAUUUUAGCUGAAGAGGUGUUUAAUUUUUAGCUCAGUCAUUGUGUUGGGGUUGGUUUUAGAGCUGGAUUGUUGUGGGUGUUAACAUUGCUGCUGAAUAUAAUUGAUGAGUUGCGUCAGUGGAUGGUGAAUUGCUUUACCUGAAAAGAUCAAGGCUGUUCUGUAAUUAUGUAAAUAAUAGAGCAAUUUAAAGAAUGUGGUUUCACUAUAUUUGAAGGUUACCUGCGUUCAUUAAUACAUUACUUCAAUAAAUAAUUUAUUUCCAAAGCAAUAUUUGGAUAUUUAUGAAUACCUUAUGCGUUUACUCCCAACAUGACCUAUAGUAAGUGGGAUACACUAUUGAAACAAAAUGAAUGCCAGUUUAGCCAUAUUAUUGAGUACAAUAUAUGACUCACCCCUAAGAUUUACACCAAUGUUCCAACGUCAGGAUAAUAAUAAUGCACUCAAAAUAUCUUCAUAUAUCCAGGAUUAAAGUAAAAUAAAUGAUACUGUACAGAUAUAAUCUGUCUCUAGUAGAUAUAUAAUGGAAAAUGAGAACAGUGUUAUUUUUUAUUUUGCUACAAACAGUAUAUUGUUGUAUUCUGAUGAUCAUAUGACCCUAAAAUAAUAUCUCAAUAUUUCAAGAUAAUUUUAUGGUAACAAUAUUCAAAAAUUCAGGUAUUAUUAUUGUAUACAAUAUGGCACACUCCUAGUGGUUACAACACCUUCAUAAAGCAGAAUUCUCUAGAAGCACUAUGUUCUGUAUUGGAAAUGUUAUUUUAUAUGCAUCACAUAUGCACGU